ensembl:snRNA U5 U5 spliceosomal RNA
UCGCUUGGGCUUAUCUUCAUCACGUACAAAACUUUUGCCUUUUACUAAAGAUUUCCAUGGAGAGGGGCGUCAACAAAUAGAGCUAAAUAGA